GGGUAAUGGCCUACCAGGCGGCGACGGGUAGCCGGCCUGAGAGGGUGGACGGCCCAUUGGGACUGAGAUACGGCCCAGACUCCUACGGGAGGCAGCAGUGGGGAAUAUUGCACAAUGGGCGGAAGCCUGAUGCAGCGACGCCGCGUGGGGGAUGACGGCCUUCGGGUUGUAAACUCCUUUCGACCGCGAGGAAGCCACCUGGUUGGAAGGGUGGUGACGGUAGUGGUAGAAGAAGCACCGGCUAACUACGUGCCAGCAGCCGCGGUAAUACGUAGGGUGCGAGCGUUGUCCGGAUUUACUGGGCGUAAAGAGCUCGUAGGUGGCUUGUCGCGUCGUCUGUGAAAGUCUGGGGCUUAACUCCGGGUGUGCAGGCGAUACGGGCUGGCUUGAGUGCUGUAGGGGAGACUGGAAUUCCUGGUGUAGCGGUGGAAUGCGCAGAUAUCAGGAGGAACACCGAUGGCGAAGGCAGGUCUCUGGGCAGUCACUGACGCUGAGGAGCGAGAGCAUGGGUAGCGAACAGGAUUAGAUACCCUGGUAGUCCAUGCUGUA
rnacentral:rRNA from 1 species